CCGCCCCCACUCCAGCCCCGGGAAGCCCCGAUUGCGGGCGGAGCGCGAGCCACCGCGGCGGGUGGAGCCUGCGGCCGCCGGAUCCCAGGGCCAAUCGCGCGGUGGCAGGGGAGGAGCCCCGGAGGGGGAAAAAGAAAGUGCGGCGGAAAGUAAGAGGCGAGUCGAGGAAGGCUGCUGGGAUCUGGGUCUCCUGGGCUCGGCUUGGACCAGGGCGCGGAAAGAGGCAGUGGCCGGCCACCCUGCACCCAUCCCGUCAUUGUCGCCGAGUCUGCUCGGCUGGCCCAGGAAGGAUGGGAUUUCUGUGGUUGAUGAGUCUGUGCUUCUUUGGGAUCCUGCAGAGUCAUGCCUCAGUUGUGACUUCAGUAUAAUUUCAAAAGACCCCGGCAUUUAAUGACGCAGGAAACAAAAUAAGCAAAGUGGAUGGAGCUCCCAUAUUCUACACUAUCAGGAGUUUGCUGUGCUUUUUCUGUAUCUGAAUGUCUUUUGUUAUUCACCCUGACUCUUGGAUAACACCAGUACUGUUACUCCAUUCACUUUAAAAAUGGAGAGUAAAAAUGUUACCGUGCAUCACCACAAGGAACAUAACAUACCUGAUGCAGAAGUUCAAGCCUGUCAAUGGUUUGCUAGGCAUCCUUAGGUAAGCUUCUUAACCUCUCAGCAGCUGGGUGUCUUUGUCUAUAUUCAUUCAGCUGCUUCUGACUCUCUCUAGGAUUGUAAAUUAAAAUACGUUUGAGGCCUGAGAACCAUGCUGGUGAGAAGGCUCAGUAGUGGUACUUACCCUCAAGACUGAGCUCAAUUCCCAGAACUCAGAUGGUGGUAAGAGGGCCCGUCUGGGAAAGUUGCCCUCUGAGGUCCACACUCUGGAAC
rnacentral:lncRNA from 1 species